GAGUUUGAUCAUGGCUCAGAUUGAACGCUGGCGGCAUGCCUUACACAUGCAAGUCGAACGGCAGCACGGGAGCUUGCUCCUGGUGGCGAGUGGCGAACGGGUGAGUAAUGCAUCGGAACGUAUCCUGGAGUGGGGGAUAACGUAGCGAAAGUUACGCUAAUACCGCAUAUUCUGUGAGCAGGAAAGCGGGGGACCUUCGGGCCUCGCGCUCUUGGAGCGGCCGAUGUCGGAUUAGCUAGUUGGUGAGGUAAAGGCUCACCAAGGCGACGAUCCGUAGCAGGUCUGAGAGGAUGAUCUGCCACACUGGAACUGAGACACGGUCAGACUCCUACGGGAGGCAGCAGUGGGGAAUUUUGGACAAUGGGGGCAACCCUGAUCCAGCCAUGCCGCGUGAGUGAAGAAGGCC
rnacentral:rRNA from 1 species